rnacentral:lncRNA from 14 species
GACCAACUGAAACUCCGAGGUUUCGUGGUGGUAGGCAUGCAGGAUUGUCUACCAAUGGACUUGUGGAUCCUGGACCUCAAACUUCUGAGAGUGUUGAUCAAAUUGUUUCAAAAAUCAAGUUUGAAACCCCACCUGGAGUACUGCCAGAGAUAUAUUUAUUAUUGAAUAUUGCCUUUCUCUGGAGGAGGACAUUAAGGAAGACAGAGACAUUUUUCCCUCUAGAGAAAGGAAUGGAGAGGAAAAUACUGCAAGGGAAAACUACAUGGUCAGGAAGCAGGUGUUUCCCCUGCCUUCUUCCAUGGCACGAAUGUAUUUGUACACUACAUAUAUGGAAAAACCCCUCCGUCUCCUGGUAAUCUGCCUUUGUUUCCAAAAUCUGCUCAUGAAAAAAAGCUAAUAAAACUGAAUAUUAGCACA